rnacentral:rRNA from 1 species
CCCUUAGAUGUUCUGGGCCGCACGCGCGCUACACUGAUUCAUGCAACAAGUUUUGUCCUUGGCUGAUAGGCCUGGGUAAUCUUUGAACGUGAAUCGUGAUGGGGAUAGAUGAUUGCAAUUAUUCAUCUUCAACGAGGAAUUCCUAGUAAACGCAAGUCAUCAGCUUGCAUUGAUUACGUCCCUGCCCUUUGUACACACCGCCCGUCGCACCUACCGAUUGAAUGGUCCGGUGAAAUCUCGGGACGGCGGCUUGGUCGCUUGCGUCCGACUGCUGAAACUUGAUUAAACCAUAUCAUUUAGAGGAGGGUGAAGUCGUAACA